AAGUUAACAGGAUGUUUGAACCAUAUAUGUGUGUGGGAUGGUUGUUCGGUGUGUGUGUGUGUGUGCUCAGAUGUGUAUAUAUAGAGAAGUUGCCUUGUAAGAACACCAGAAAGUGUUUUGCAAAAGAAACAAACCGAUAAGGAGAAGACCUUCGCUUACUGGUAUCUUUGGAUAAACCAGACUGACCCUGCAACAUUCUGGAAAAAGAAACCCAAGAGAAUCAGGCCGCAUAGAGCAGAUUGAUAGGGCACCUCUCACUGGCUGAGUGUAGAACCUCGAAUCUGAAAGAAGCCAGAUCCACAGAAGAGGCAUCAGCUGUCAUGGCAGAUAAACCAAAUAGGCGCAGUAAGA